CUGACAGGUUUACUAGACUCGGGUAUAAAGAAGAAAUUUGGUUUGUCCAAACCAAUUCAUCCGGAAAAUGAAAUCUUAGUUUGGGUGGUCUGAAUUUUGUUCAGAUAUUUCAGAUUUUCAGAAUUUCAACCAUGCAAACGAUUUGGGAAAAUGAUUCAGACCAACCAAAAUGGUACGAAAAUUAGUCCUGCAAAAUGUAUGUAUUAUGUAUUUGGUUUACAGAUCAAGUGAGAAG